rnacentral:rRNA from 1 species
GCAUAACGCGAAGAACCUUACCCACCUUUGACAUGUACGGAAUCCUUUAGAGAUAGAGGAGUGCUCGAAAGAGAGCCGUAACACAGGUGCUGCAUGGCUGUCGUCAGCUCGUGUCGUGAGAUGUUGGGUUAAGUCCCGCAACGAGCGCAACCCUUGCCAUUAGUUGCUACAUUUAGUUGAGCACUCUAAUGGGACUGCCGGUGAUAAGCCGGAGGAAGGUGGGGAUGACGUCAAGUCCUCAUGGCCCUUAUAGGUGGGGCUACACACGUCAUACAAUGGCUGGUACAGAGGGUUGCCAACCCGCGAGGGGGAGCUAAUCCCAUAAAGCCAGUCGUAGUCCGGAUCGCAGUCUGCAACUCGACUGCGUGAAGUCGGAAUCGCUAGUAAUCGCGGAUCAGAAUGUCGCGGUGAAUACGUUCCCGGGUCUUGUACACACCG